rnacentral:rRNA from 1 species
AUUGAACGCUGGCGGCAGGCCUAACACAUGCAAGUCGAACGGUAACAGGAAGAAGCUUGCUUCUUUGCUGACGAGUGGCGGACGGGUGAGUAAUGUCUGGGAAACUGCCUGAUGGAGGGGGAUAACUACUGGAAACGGUAGCUAAUACCGCAUAACGUCGCAAGACCAAAGAGGGGGACCUUCGGGCCUCUUGCCAUCGGAUGUGCCCAGAUGGGAUUAGCUAGUAGGUGGGGUAACGGCUCACCUAGGCGACGAUCCCUAGCUGGUCUGAGAGGAUGACCAGCCACACUGGAACUGAGACACGGUCCAGACUCCUACGGGAGGCAGCAGUGGGGAAUAUUGCACAAUGGGAGGAAGCCUGAUGCAGCCAUGCCGCGUGUAUGAAGAAGGCCUUCGGGUUGUAAAGUACUUUCAGCGGGGAGGAAGGGAGUAAAGUUAAUACCUUUGCUCAUUGACGUUACCCGCAGAAGAAGCACCGGCUAACUCCGUG